AAAAACAUUUCCUCUUGGUAUAAGAGGUAAGGCCUGCUCACUGACUAGGUUGAAGAGCCGCAGUAUAUUGACUGUGCUAAGGUAGCAUAAUCAUUAGUCCUUUAAUUGGGGACUGGUAUGAAUGGCUAAACGAGAAAUUAGCUUUCUUUGUUAUGGUUUGUUGAAUUUAACUUGUAAGUGAAAAGGCUUACAUGAUUCAGAAAGACGAGAAGACCCUAUAGAGUUUUACAAAGGCCUAAAAUACAGCUUAUUAGUUUUUAAGGGUUAUACUUUGGAAAUUUGUUUGGUUGGGGCGACAUAAAGAUAAAAAAAACUCUUUGUAGUAUAAACUUUGGUGGAAGAAAAGGUUUGAUCCUCUAAAAGGGAUUAUAAGAAAAAAUUACCUUAGGGAUAACAGCGUAAUCUUCUUUUAGAGUUCAAAUCGACAAGAAGGUUUGCGACCUCGAUGUUGGACUAAAAUUUGGGCAAGGUGCAGCAGCUUUGUUUUUGGGUCUGUUCGACCCGUAAUAUUUUACAUGAUCUGAGUU
rnacentral:rRNA from 1 species